rnacentral:rRNA from 1 species
CAGUAGCCGCGGUAAAACGGAGGGUGCAAGCGUUAUCCGGAUUUAUUGGGUUUAAAGGGUCCGUAGGCGGACUUAUAAGUCAGUGGUGAAAGCCUGUCGCUUAACGAUAGAACUGCCAUUGAUACUGUAAGUCUUGAGUAUAUUUGAGGUAGCUGGAAUAAGUAGUGUAGCGGUGAAAUGCAUAGAUAUUACUUAGAACACCAAUUGCGAAGGCAGGUUACCAAGAUAUAACUGACGCUGAGGGACGAAAGCGUGGGUAGCGAACAGGAUUAGAUACCCCGGUAGUCCCUGUCUCUUAUAA